GUGUGUUGGUGGUUUGUUUCAGCUCUUUUAUUGUUGCAAGGUUGCAAGGCGGGCGGUAAUGUUCAAUUCAGAAUAUUCUACCGGGGGGAACCACAAACGACUACGUAAAAAGCGUAUUCCGUUUUAGGGAAAAUUGCGUACUCCGUUUUUUGGAAAAUUGCGGAACGCAAAUUGUCCCUAUUCCCGAACGCGCCCACGUUUCGUUUCCUCCCGGUCCGAAUUAAAAAUUGGCAUUGCUGCCAACCUUAAGUAUUAAAAAACCAUUCAGUCAGUCAUUCUUCUCAUUCAUCGUUGACAGUCACCACACCACACCAAGCACGCAAGUAGUACCUACUACAUAAAGAAAAAGAAAACUUGAAACUUUAAACUAAAAGACAGUUUAUAAGUAAUAGAUUCAAGAAAAUUAUUAUCAAAUAAAUAAAGUUAAACUAAAGAAAAAAACAAAAGAAAAAUAAAAGUUUUUAAUUCAACAAAAGAAAAAAGGAAAACGAACAAAAAAAAAAGUACGACUACGCCCCAACACCACACAUAGAUAAUUCGCUAUAUACGUGUAUGGUAUGGUGUGUUUGUGUAUGUCUUUUUUAUAUCUUUUUAGGUUUUCCACAACUGGAGGUAUGCCGUUACCUACAAACUCCGCUCACAAAAGGUGGACAAAAAUAAAACGGGUGAACACAAAACAAACGCAGAGAGACUCGAGGAACAUGCUAUGGCCUGCUCGGGCCGAGUUGUGGUCAAUGGCAAUUCAAAUGUUCCUGUGGCAAAAUGUUCCAAGUUUUUAGAAACUUCUGCUGCGGAACAUCCGAAAAGCCAAACACUAAAUUUGGAAGCGGAAGAGUCGGUGGAACAUUCGGUGUUUGUGGACGAUGUGGUAAAUGCUGAUGAUGAGCAAAAACCAAAAAGAAAAAAAAAAACAACACUAUCUUAGACGAUGAGCUUAUUCAGAUCAUCCAAGUUUCCGAGGAAAAUAAGCAGGGGUAUGCAGACCAAAUUAGUUGCAAAUUGGACCAAAUUUCUGCUGACAUCCAAGCCUUGACGGCAGCACAAAUGGCCACUACUGCGGCAAUAGAACAUUUGGUUACAAUUGUUACAUAGUGUAUCAAAUGACUCAAUG